CUGAAACUAACACAACAUUGUUAAUCAACUCUACUCCAAGAUAAAAUAAAAAUUAAAAAACAAAGGAAUAAAUCUACUGACCUUCCCAGAUUGAAUCACAGCAUCAGUGUCUCCCUGAAGCCUUUCAUGUACCCCUGGGUCUGCUUUAGAUGGUGUUCCUCUGUGGUCACCCAGCUGGAAUCCUUCUCUCUGCUUGGGGUAGCUUGUAUACUAGAACCAGAAGGGUUCUGAUGUCAGGCAGAACUGGGUAAAAUCAUGACUCAACCUUUACCUGACGUGGACAACAUAUUUAACCUCCUUUAGCCUGAGUUCCUUCACCAUAAACGUGGGAAUAUUGAUGCCAUUUUGCAAGAUUGUUGUGAGGGGCAGAGUGAAUUUAUGCGAAAGCUCAUCUGAUGAUGGGCAGAUAUAGGUGUUCAAUAAGAGGUAACGGAAUUUUUAGAGAAUGGAGAUUGCUUUCUCCAUUCUCAUAGCCUUGCUACUUUGUCAAAUAAAAGUAGUAAUGCUUUUUACACAGGUUUUUCUUCUGUGGCAUGACAUCAUUCUCUAGACUUCUGUAUCGAAUUUUACCUGUGCUGUCUCUCAGCUAGCUAUUUGGAUGGACAAUCUUGAUUGUGGCUUAACACCAAAGCCUGCUGCCAUGUGUCAAGUGGUCCUUUAGUGGCUUACCUCCAAGGUGAAUCCAGUGGUGACAUCCAGGCACUCUAUUAGGAAGAGCACAGUUACAGGAAACUCAGCCUGAAAAUUUGGCAUUCUCCAAUCAACUAUAGAGGUAGUUUCUACUACCAAUGGUGCGAGUCUUGUGUGGCCGGCAUGGAGCAGAGAAGAGCAGAUGGCAAGAACCACAGAUCAACUUGAUUGUUCCAUAAAGAUAUAAAUGCUACUGGCAGAGUUCACUUAUUUAGAAGAUGUUUCUGGAACAUGGUACUGCAUGAAUGUGAUAAGGUGAUGUAUCCAGCAGACUUUCUGGAAGACAUCCUCUCAGAUGGCUCUGAGGAAC